rnacentral:rRNA from 1 species
GAUAAACGCUGGCGGCAUGCCUAACACAUGCAAGUCGAACGGAGCGCCUUGGAAGGAGACUUCGGUCAACGGAAGAGGAGGCUUAGUGGCGGACGGGUGAGUAACGCGUGAGGAACCUGCCUCAGAGAGGGGGAUAACACACCGAAAGGUGUGCUAAUACCGCAUAACAUAUAAGAGGGGCAUCCCUUUCAUAUCAAAGAUUUAUUGCUCUGAGAUGGCCUCGCGUCCAAUUAGCUAGUUGGUGAGGUAACGGCCCACCAAGGCGACGAUUGGUAGCCGGACUGAGAGGUUGAACGGCCACAUUGGGACUGAGACACGGCCCAGACUCCUACGGGAGGCAGCAGUGGGGAAUAUUGCACAAUGGGGGGAACCCUGAUGCAGCAAUGCCGCGUGAAGGAUGAAGGUUUUCGGAUUGUAAACUUCUUUUGUACGGGACGAAGAAAGUGACGGUACCGUAAGAAUAAGCCACGGCUAACUACGUGCCAGCAGCCGCGGUAAUACGUAGGUG